GAUCAAAUGUCACAAAUUUCUCUAUAAACACUCCAACAUUUCCCUACAAGUUCUAGGAUUCAAGAUCAAUCUCAGAGGAUCUUGAAUUCAAAUACAAAUCGAAAACAAGUUCAUCAAGAUCCGAGAGAGAAAACAAAUUACGAUUAUUGCAAUAUGUUUCAAUUUUCUCGAUACGAAUUUUAUUCUUUAUAAUAAUAUAACUCGUCCACGUAUACAAGAUAUAUGAUUUCUCGAGCGUGAGAUCGUCUUGUGUGACGAUCAAUAGAGACAGGUAUUUCUCUAUCACUCGAACUGACUGCAUUUUAGUUUUUGGACCUACGUUACUUUGUUAUUUGUUCGGAUUUUGGACCAGACUGCUUAGGCUGUUCAGAUCCAAGUUGCAUGCUCAGUGCUCACCUACCUUGUUGUGAUGGUUUUUGUGGCGUAUUCAAAAUUUAAAAUAUAUAAAUUAUUGAGGUAAUCUCAAAUUGACUAAUAUAUAGUAACAAUAAUUGAAUUUAUAGGUUAUUCAUACAUAUAUUUAAUAAAUUUAUCAACAAUAAUAUACCUAGUAUUUCAUACAAGUGGAAUUUAGCGGGUAAAAUAUAGGAUGGCCUUAUCAUUAGGACAGAUUAUUAAAAGCAAGAACUAACAAUAUUAUAUAUCAAAAUCAGGAACUACACUAAAACAAUUAGUAGAAUGGCAGCCACCAACUAUCCUACUAUCUAAGGUCAUGACCUCGAUAACUUGAAGUUGCGUCAUAUCUUGUCUUAUCACCUCUACUCUUCCUUCUUUAGCCUACAUCUGGCUCUCCUCGUACCCUUUAUAACCAACCACUCCCACCUUCUUAGUGGUGCAUCUACACAUCUCCUAUUUACAUGUUCAAACCAUCUCAGUUGCGUUAUUCUCAUCUUAUCCACCACGGUAAUCAGUCUCACCUCUUUCUGAAUAUCCUCGUUCCUAAUCUUAUCUCACAGAAAUCCAAAGGCUUAAUCCGAUUCUGCAUUAAAAAAGAUGUGUGGUAGUUUAGGAGGAUCUGGUUAACAUAAAAUAGUUUGGGUUUCAAUUUUUAACAAGUUCAACAAGAGUUGCGAUAGUAGAUACAUCCAAUCGUUAAAGCAAAUGGAGAGAGACAGAAAGCCAAAAGGCAAAUCUUCCAAGUCCCCAUCAAUUUGCAUGAUAGGAAGUAUUUGGAUAUCCCUACGAACAGACCGAAAAAUAGAAAACAAUGAACUGAACAGAAGAUCAGUAAGCAGUUGAUAAUGUGUUGUCCAGUACAUUUUCCAUAGAUUACACUUGUGCAUGACUUUCAAGGUGUAAACAAGCAAAGAAACCAGGGCUGAAUACCUAAAGAGUGCAAGUGCUUAAAACCACAACAGCCUCAAACUAGAAAAUACGGGAGAAUCACAAGGAAACAAAAAUCUAACACAAGCAACCUGUACAAAUGUAUAUUAGCAGUACUUUUAUCUCUCAUAAAAACCCACCCACCCCACGGAGCAACUCAACCCUUCCAUCCAGGAUAACUCAUAUUGUUGUCAAGAUCACUGCUAAGAAAACCAUUUUCAGCAAAUUCCUGAACCAUCUCAGGGGUAAGAAUAUCAUCAUCUGAUACAUGCAUAUUUGUGGGCAAAUCUGGACCUUUUCGACUGAAGCCACUGUUGCCAGCCGAUGAAGACGGUUCACAGUUAGAUCCCGAUUUGAAACUGUAACUUCGGGGCAAAUCUGGAGCUUUUUGACUGAAACCACUGUUGCCAACCAAUGGAGAGGGUUCACGGUUGGAUGCUGAUUUAAAACUGUAGAUUCUACUCGGUGUGGGUCCUAAACUGCUCCCCGGCCCAUGAGAAGAUGUUGCAGCAGCUAGGGAACCAUUGUUGCCAAAUGCAAGCCCUUCCCUCGAGGCACUACCACCUCCCCCACUCUGUCCAGAAAGGCACUGCUGUUGAACUCCAGACCCAUUGUUGCCAAAAGCAACCCCUUCCCUCGAAGCACUACCACCUCCACUCUGUCCAGAAAGGCACUGCUGUUGAACUCCAGACCCACCAUUGUUGGUGUUCAUGUCCUGGAGGAGCUGCUGGAUCAUUUGCUGCUGCAGCGCCUGGCUUCCCUGCGAGGAUUGAGAUUGACUUUGCGAGAGUAAACCACUACUCAGUAAUUGCUGCUGUUGUUGCUGCAGACUGGUACUUGGCAACCCACUGACAGGUAAGUUCUGCACUGUCCCUGGCAACAUACCAUUGGAUCCUUGCAACAGUGAAGAUUGAGAGUUGUUUGAAUUAUUGAAAGAAGAAGACGCAUCUUGUUGGGUUGAGUUUGUGUUUGAAUUCAUUGAAUUCUGCCGCAUAAGCGAAUUUUGGAAGUUUGACAGCGAAAGAGCAGCUUGUCCAGAGCCACUUAAAGCUCCCCGACCACCCAUCUGCUGGUUAUUGCUGAUUUGGUUAUUAAGCCCAGGAUGGAGAGACAUAAGCUUGUUCAACGCACUGCGGUCGGUUGGCAGACCCUGAAUAUUACCCACCUGCUGCUCUGUUUCCUGUAUAUUUUGCAUCUGAAACUUGGCUGUGUUAUCAUGUCGCGGGAAACUCUUUAAGCCCUCUGCAAAACAAGGAGUAAUCCUUUAUUUAGAAUUCAACAUGCCCAAAAACAGCUAAUAGUUAAACACUAAUGUGGGACAGUUAGUAAUUGGAAGGACGGAUAUUUUUAGUUUUAUCUAUAAUCAAAAUUAUAAAAAGAAACAAAUAUAUUUACCAAUGGAACCAGCUUUAUGCUCACUGCAAAAAUCCAUCAAAUCCUUCAUGCUAUUCACGACCUCAGCAAUCUGAACAUCACAUGUCAAAGAAUCAAGUACUAGAACAUUAGAAAGCCAGAUAGACGAAGAUUUACACACUUUUAUACAUGGACUGAGAAAAAUUAUUGUCCUCAUGUUUUCUUCCCCAAAAGUCUUUUAUCUUCCCAUUCCAGACUCAUCCAAACAUACCUGUAAGCAUCUCACAUAUCUUUUGGAAAAUCCCAAAUCAUUCAGUGACUGUAACUCCAAACUCUUUGCAAGUUGGCGUCCACUCGUGACGACCCUAACGCACAACAUCAAAAAUGUGACAUGAGAUCAUAGUUCAGACCAAUUGUCAGAUAUAAGAGACAAUACAUCUCCCGAAAUUAACAAGAAGUUUAUUCUCUAUGGUUAGAAAUGCAUUAACCACUAUGAACUCCUGGUAUUACAAAAAUAGACAUAAUGGAAGCUUGUAGUUCAAAAGAAGUCCUCAUCAGGUGGUUCUCUAUUUACUUGAGAAUCAAACAAACUCCUUUUUUGGGGGCCUAUCUUAGUUGUUAGCAGUAAUGGAAAGUCAUUACAAGCGUAGAGUGGAAAGCAUAUACUAAUAUGGGUUCAUCAUUUCGGAUGAGGUAGAACUAAGUGAGACAGCCCAGAAAAUACAGUAAAGGCACGACUCACAGUAGAAAUUAUAAUCAUAUACACAAAUUAGUAGACAGACAGGAAGUACAUAUAAAGCUAAAACAAAAGGAGAAACAAAAUGAAUUACAUACUGAGAAAGUGAAACAAAGCCUUUUUUUGUGGGGGUCUGGGAGAAGGGGGGAGGGGACGGGUAGCUUUUCACUCACAUGUUGCUGUUCGCUUGUAAAUCCUCCUGAGAAACUCCAUCAGGUCCAGUUUCUGUUAAUGUACUUUGGCAUUUCUGAGCAACCUGCACCAAUUGAUUUACCUACAAAGAACAGUGUUAUGAGAGCAAGUCCUAAACACUGAAAUUGCUUUUCAUUCGCUGUCAGCUGAGUCAUAAAGACUAAGUUGAAAGGGACUGUUGCACAAGUGGUGGAUCGGGUCAAUCAGAAUCAUCUCAUUCUAUUCCAAAGUGAAUCUCCAGGACCUCCACAGCAAAGAGGGUUCUACUCAGGCUUGUCCCAGUCAAAUCAAAUAACCAGGAUACAGAACAGUUAAACAGAUUACACAUAUCCAAUACAUUAGUUGCAUGAUUCCAUUCAAGAAACAAUCGAAGGUGGUCAUAUAAACAAAAUUCAGAAAUCCUCUAAACAUUGAAUUCUCCAAAAAGCCACAAAACUGCAUACAUAUUCAACAUGAGAAACAAACACCUGCACAUGGGAAUACUGGACAAAGAAAAAAAAGAUAUAGACCCUUGGCUAUCAUAAUGAGUGAACGUAUUAAAUAUAAAAACCCUACAAUGCAAUUUCACAUUGAGGAUGGUCCAAAAAGUUUACUGAAAGAACAAAAAAAGAGCUUAGAAGAGUUAGAGCCAGUGAAAUUAAAUUCAGUUCAAUACCUG
rnacentral:lncRNA from 1 species